rnacentral:misc_RNA from 2 species
AACGCACAUUGCGCCCUUUGGUAUUCCGAAGGGCAUGCCUGUUCGAGCGUCAUUAUCACCCCUCAAGCCCUCGGCUUGGUGUUGGACGGUUUGGUGGAGACCCCCCUCGGGUGGGCUUCUACCCCUCCCAAAGACAAUGACGGCGGCCUCGUUGGACCCCCGGUACACUGAGUUCUUCACGGGACACGUAUCGGACACAUGGGUUUACGGGACACGGUCUGCCUCCCCUCAGGGAGAAUCUUUUUUUAUCAAGGUUGACCUCGGAUCAGGUAGGGAUACCCGCUGAACUUAA